rnacentral:rRNA from 1 species
GAUUAACGCUGGCGGCGUGCCUAACACAUGCAAGUCGAACGAUGAAACUUUAAUGAACCCUUCGGGGAGAAUUAAAGCGGAUUAGUGGCGAACGGGUGAGUAACGCGUGAGUAACCUGCCUUACACAAGGGGAUAGCCUUUGGAAACGAAGAAUAAUACCCUAUAACACCAUACAAGCACAUGCAAUUAUGGUCAAAGUGAUAGCGGUGUAAGAUGGACUUGCGUCUGAUUAGCUAGUUGGUGAGAUAAACGCCCACCAAGGCAACGAUCAGUAGCCGGCGUGGAGGAGUGUACGGCCACACUGCGACUGAGACACGGCCCAGACUCCUACGGAAGGCAGCAGUGGGGAAGUUUGCACAAUGGGGGAGACCCGAAUGCAGCGACGCCGCGAGAUUUAGAAGGCCUUCGGGUUGUAAAAAGCUUUUGUAUAGGAAGAAAAUGACAGUACUAUACGAAUAAGGUCCGGCUAAUUACGUG